GGGUUGUGAGGUUAAGCGACUAAGCGUACACGGUGGAUGCCCUGGCAGUCAGAGGCGAUGAAGGGCGUGCUAAUCUGCGAUAAGCGCCGGUAAGGUGAUAUGAACCGUUAUAACCGGCGAUACCCGAAUGGGGAAACCCAGUGUGACUCGUCACACUAUCAUUAACUGAAUCCAUAGGUUAAUGAGGCGAACCGGGGGAACUGAAACAUCUAAGUACCCCGAGGAAAAGAAAUCAACCGAGAUUCCCCCAGUAGCGGCGAGCGAACGGGGAGGAGCCCAGAGCCUGAAUCAGCAUGUGUGUUAGUGGAAGCGUCUGGAAAGGCGCGCGAUACAGGGUGACAGCCCCGUACACAAAAGCGCAUGUGCUGUGAGCUCGAUGAGUAGGGCGGGACACGUGGUAUCCUGUCUGAAUAUGGGGGGACCAUCCUCCAAGGCUAAAUACUCCUGACUGACCGAUAGUGAACCAGUACCGUGAGGGAAAGGCGAAAAGAACCCCGGCGAGGGGAGUGAAAAAGAACCUGAAACCGUGUACGUACAAGCAGUGGGAGCCCCUUUGGGGUGACUGCGUACCUUUUGUAUAAUGGGUCAGCGACUUAUAUUCUGUAGCAAGGUUAACCGAAUAGGGGAGCCGGAGGGAAACCGAGUCUUAAUUGGGCGUUAAGUUGCAGGGUAUAGACCCGAAACCCGGUGAUCUAGCCAUGGGCAGGUUGAAGGUUGGGUAACACUAACUGGAGGACCGAACCGACUAAUGUUGAAAAAUUAGCGGAUGACCUGUGGCUGGGGGUGAAAGGCCAAUCAAACCGGGAGAUAGCUGGUUCUCCCCGAAAGCUAUUUAGGUAGCGCCUCGUGAAUUCAUCUCCGGGGGUAGAGCACUGUUUCGGCUAGGGGGCCAUCCCGGCUUACCAACCCGAUGCAAACUGCGAAUACCGGAGAAUGUUAUCACGGGAGACACACGGCGGGUGCUAACGUCCGUCGUGAAGAGGGAAACAACCCAGACCGCCAGCUAAGGUCCCAAAGUCAUGGUUAAGUGGGAAACGAUGUGGGAAGGCCCAGACAGCCAGGAUGUUGGCUUAGAAGCAGCCAUCAUUUAAAGAAAGCGUAAUAGCUCACUGGUCGAGUCGGCCUGCGCGGAAGAUGUAACGGGGCUAAACCAUGCACCGAAGCUGCGGCAGCGACACUGUGUGUUGUUGGGUAGGGGAGCGUUCUGUAAGCCUGUGAAGGUGUGUCGUGAGGCAUGCUGGAGGUAUCAGAAGUGCGAAUGCUGACAUAAGUAACGAUAAAGCGGGUGAAAAGCCCGCUCGCCGGAAGACCAAGGGUUCCUGUCCAACGUUAAUCGGGGCAGGGUGAGUCGACCCCUAAGGCGAGGCCGAAAGGCGUAGUCGAUGGGAAACGGGUUAAUAUUCCCGUACUUGGUGUUACUGCGAAGGGGGGACGGAGAAGGCUAUGUUGGCCGGGCGACGGUUGUCCCGGUUUAAGCGUGUAGGUGUGUGUUCCAGGUAAAUCCGGUUCACUUUAACACUGAGGCGUGACGACGAGGCACUACGGUGCUGAAGCAACAAAUGCCCUGCUUCCAGGAAAAGCCUCUAAGCAUCAGGUAACAUCAAAUCGUACCCCAAACCGACACAGGUGGUCAGGUAGAGAAUACCAAGGCGCUUGAGAGAACUCGGGUGAAGGAACUAGGCAAAAUGGUGCCGUAACUUCGGGAGAAGGCACGCUGACACGUAGGUGAAGUGAUUUACUCAUGGAGCUGAAGUCAGUCGAAGAUACCAGCUGGCUGCAACUGUUUAUUAAAAACACAGCACUGUGCAAACACGAAAGUGGACGUAUACGGUGUGACGCCUGCCCGGUGCCGGAAGGUUAAUUGAUGGGGUCAGCGCAAGCGAAGCUCCUGAUCGAAGCCCCGGUAAACGGCGGCCGUAACUAUAACGGUCCUAAGGUAGCGAAAUUCCUUGUCGGGUAAGUUCCGACCUGCACGAAUGGCGUAAUGAUGGCCAGGCUGUCUCCACCCGAGACUCAGUGAAAUUGAACUCGCUGUGAAGAUGCAGUGUACCCGCGGCAAGACGGAAAGACCCCGUGAACCUUUACUAUAGCUUGACACUGAACAUUGAGCCUUGAUGUGUAGGAUAGGUGGGAGGCUUUGAAGUGUGGACGCCAGUCUGCAUGGAGCCGACCUUGAAAUACCACCCUUUAAUGUUUGAUGUUCUAACGUGGACCCGUUACCCGGGUUGCGGACAGUGUCUGGUGGGUAGUUUGACUGGGGCGGUCUCCUCCUAAAGAGUAACGGAGGAGCACGAAGGUUGGCUAAUCCUGGUCGGACAUCAGGAGGUUAGUGCAAUGGCAUAAGCCAGCUUGACUGCGAGCGUGACGGCGCGAGCAGGUGCGAAAGCAGGUCAUAGUGAUCCGGUGGUUCUGAAUGGAAGGGCCAUCGCUCAACGGAUAAAAGGUACUCCGGGGAUAACAGGCUGAUACCGCCCAAGAGUUCAUAUCGACGGCGGUGUUUGGCACCUCGAUGUCGGCUCAUCACAUCCUGGGGCUGAAGUAGGUCCCAAGGGUAUGGCUGUUCGCCAUUUAAAGUGGUACGCGAGCUGGGUUUAGAACGUCGUGAGACAGUUCGGUCCCUAUCUGCCGUGGGCGCUGGAGAACUGAGGGGGGCUGCUCCUAGUACGAGAGGACCGGAGUGGACGCAUCACUGGUGUUCGGGUUGUCAUGCCAAUGGCACUGCCCGGUAGCUAAAUGCGGAAGAGAUAAGUGCUGAAAGCAUCUAAGCACGAAACUUGCCCCGAGAUGAGUUCUCCCUGAGACUUAGAGUCUCCUGAAGGAACGUUGAAGACGACGACGUUGAUAGGCCGGGUGUGUAAGCGCAGCGAUGCGUUGAGCUAACCGGUACUAAUGAACCGUGAGGCUUAACCUUACAACGCCGAAG
rnacentral:rRNA from 1 species